GACGAACGCUGGCGGCGUGCUUAACACAUGCAAGUCGAACGGAAAGGCCCCUUUGGGGGUACUCGAGUGGCGAACGGGUGAGUAACACGUGAGUAACCUGCCCUUGAAUUCGGGAUAACUUCAGGAAACUGGGGCUAAUACCGGAUAGGAAUCCUUGCUGCAUGGUGGGGGUUGGAAAGCUUCGGCGGUUUUGGAUGGACUCGCGGCGUAUCAGCUUGUUGGUGGGGUAGUGGCUUACCAAGGCGUCGACGGGUAGCCGGCCUGAGAGAGCGAACGGCCACAUUGGGACUGAGAGACGGCCCAGACUCCUACUGGAGGCAGCAGUGGGGAAUAUUGCACAAUGGGCGGAAGCCUGAUGCAGCAACUCCGCGUGCGGGAUGACGGCCUUCGUGUUGUAAACCGCUUUCAGCAGGGGCGAAGCUUGUGGUGACGUUACCUGCAGAAGAAGCACCGGCUAACUACGUG
rnacentral:rRNA from 1 species